rnacentral:rRNA from 1 species
AUCCGUAGGGUGCGAGCGUUAAUCGGAAUUACUGGGCGUAAAGCGUGCGCAGGUGGUUUUGUAAGUCAGAUGUGAAAUCCCCGGGCUUAACCUGGGAACUGCGUUUGAAACUGCAAGGCUAGAGUGUGGCAGAGGGGGGUGGAAUUCCGCGUGUAGCAGUGAAAUGCGUAGAGAUGUGGAGGAACACCGAUGGCGAAGGCAGCCCCCUGGGUCAACACUGACGCUCAGGCACGAAAGCAUGGGGAGCAAACAGGAUUAGAAACCCCGGUAGUCC